rnacentral:piRNA from 1 species
UCCAGGUGGAUUGGUGGAUCCUUGUCCAGG